rnacentral:rRNA from 1 species
AUACGGAGAAUCCGAGCGUUAUCCGGAUUUAUUGGGUUUAAAGGGUGCGCAGGCGGCCAUUUAAGUCAGCGGUUAAAUCGUGGGGCUCAACCCCAUUCUGCCGUUGAUACUGGGUGGCUUGAUUGCGGUCGAGGUUGGCGGAAUUCGUUGUGUAGCGGUGAAAUGCAUAGAUAUGACGAAGAACACCGAUUGCGUAGGCAGCUGACCAGACCGCAAAUGACGCUCAUGCACGAAAGUGCGGGGAUCGAACAGGAUUAGAUACCCUGGUAGUCCGCACAGUAAACGAUGAAUACUUGUUUUCGGCGAUAUAAUGUCGGAGGCAAAGCGAAAGCGAUAAGUAUUCCACCUGGGGAGUACGCCGGCAACGGUGAAACUCAAAGGAAUUGGCGGGG